CUUAAUGAGUUAAUAGUACAGAAUAAUAAUAUAAUAAUUGGUAUAGAAAAUAUUAUACCUCGUUAGCAUUAAAUACUAAAGACAAUUUUACUUCCUGCCAGUGGUGGCGUAAACAUUUUUAUUUUAUGAGGCAAACAUAGAUGUUAGAGGUUGACCACAACCAUCUGAGUGUUAUUAGACAGAGUUAUGGGGAAGAAGCCG